rnacentral:lncRNA from 1 species
ACCCAAGGUCACUAUUCCUCCAUUCUAUAAGAAACCCUUCCCUCCCAAGGUCACUAUUCCUCCAUUCUAUAAGAAACCCUGCCCUCCCAAGAUCCCUAUUUUCAAGAAGCCUCUCCCCCCACCAGUCCCAGUUUAUGUAAAGCCCCUCCCUCCACCAGUCCCAGUUUACCAAAAGCCUCUCCCUCCACCAGUCCCAGUCUACAAGAAGCCACUCCCUCCACCAGUCCCAGUCUACGAGAAACCAAACCCUCCACCAGUUCCAGUCUACAAGAAACCAUGCCCUCCACCAGUUCCAGUGAAGAAACCACAACCUCCACCAGUCCCAGUUUACAAAAAGCCCCAUCCUCCAAAAGCACCCAAAAAAGUAUGCCCUCCACCAGUCCCUGUCAAGAAGCCAACUCCACCACCAGUCCCUGUGUACAAAAAGCCACUUCCACCGCCGGUUCCGGUGUACACAAAACCGCUUCCACCGCCGGUUCCGGUGUACACAAAACCGCUUCCACCGCCGGUUCCCGUGUACACAAAACCGCUUCCACCACCUGUCCCAGUGUACACAAAACCACUGCCAC